AUUGAACGCUGGCGGCAUGCUUUACACAUGCAAGUCGAACGGUAACAGGCCGCAAGGUGCUGACGAGUGGCGAACGGGUGAGUAAUGCAUCGGAACGUGCCCAGUCGUGGGGGAUAACGCAGCGAAAGCUGCGCUAAUACCGCAUACGAUCUAUGGAUGAAAGCGGGGGACCGUAAGGCCUCGCGCGAUUGGAGCGGCCGAUGUCAGAUUAGGUAGUUGGUGGGGUAAAGGCUCACCAAGCCAACGAUCUGUAGCUGGUCUGAGAGGACGACCAGCCACACUGGGACUGAGACACGGCCCAGACUCCUACGGGAGGCAGCAGUGGGGAAUUUUGGACAAUGGGCGCAAGCCUGAUUCAGCAAUGCCGCGUGCAGGAAGAAGGCCUUCGGGUUGUAAACUGCUUUUGUACGGAACGAAACGGCUCUGGUUAAUACCUGGGGCUAAUGACGGUACCGUAAGAAUAAGCACCGGCUAACUACGUGCCAGCAGCCGCCGUAAGAC
rnacentral:rRNA from 1 species